rnacentral:rRNA from 1 species
UACGUAGGCAGCGAGCGUUGUUCGGAGUUACUGGGCGUAAAGGGUGUGUAGGCGGUUGUUUAAGUUUGGUGUGAAAUCUCCCGGCUCAACUGGGAGGGUGCGCCGAAUACUGAGCGACUAGAGUGCGGGAGAGGAAAGUGGAAUUCCUGGUGUAGCGGUGAAAUGCGUAGAUAUCAGGAGGAACACCGGUGUUGUAGACGGCUUUCUGGACCGUAACUGACGCUGAGACACGAAAGCGUGGGUAGCAAACAGG